GGAGUACACACGGCAUCUCCUGGCAUGGUUUUGACAGAUCUCCUUCUUAGUGGUUCAACUGUGAGAAACAAACAGAUGUUCAAUAUCAUUUGUGAGCUUCCUGAAACAGUUGCUAGGACAUUAGUUCCUCGGAUGCGAGUCGUGAAAGGAACUGGAAAAGCCAUAAACUACUUAACUCCUCCAAGAAUCUUAUUAGCUCUGG
rnacentral:misc_RNA from 1 species